AGGACGAACGCUGGCGGCGUGCUUAACACAUGCAAGUCGAACGGAAAGGCCCGCUUGCGGGUACUCGAGUGGCGAACGGGUGAGUAACACGUGGGCAACCUGCCCUCAGCUUCGGGAUAACACUUGGAAACAGGUGCUAAUACCGGAUAAUAACCUUUCAUCGCAUGGUGUGGGGUUCAAAGUUUUUCGGCUGGGGAUGGGCCCGCGGCCUAUCAGCUUGUUGGUGGGGUAAUGGCCUACCAAGGCGACGACGGGUAGCCGGCCUGAGAGGGCGACCGGCCACACUGGGACUGAGACACGGCCCAGACUCCUACGGGAGGCAGCAGUGGGGAAUAUUGCGCAAUGGGCGGAAGCCUGACGCAGCGACGCCGCGUGAGGGAUGACGGCCUUGGUUGUAACCUCUUUCAGCAGGGACGAAGCGAAAGUGACGGUACCUGCAGAAGAAGCGCCGGCUACUACGUGCCAGCAGCCGC
rnacentral:rRNA from 1 species